UACGAAGGGGGCUAGCGUUGCUCGGAAUCACUGGGCGUAAAGCGCACGUAGGCGGAUCUUUAAGUCAGGGGUGAAAUCCCAAGGCUCAACCUUGGAACUGCCUUUGAUACUGGGGAUCUCGAGUCCGGGAGAGGUGUAGUGACUGCGAGUGAGAGGUGAAAUUCGUAGAUAUUCGCAAGAACACCAGUGGCGAAGGCGGCUCACUGGCCCGGUACUGACGCUGAGGUGCGAAAGCGUGGGGAGCAAACAGG
rnacentral:rRNA from 1 species